rnacentral:antisense_RNA from 1 species
AACUGUGGGAGCUGGCUUGCCUGCGAUAGCGUUGGUGGAUUCACUCGCCUCAUCGCAGGCAAGCCAGCUCCCACCUUU